ensembl:lincRNA
AGGUCUCUCUAGUUCAUGCUGGCCUUCAACUUACUAUGUAGCCCAGGCUGGCCUUGAACUCAUGGCAAUCCUCUUGCCUCAACCUCCCCAGUGCUAGAAUUAGAGACUGCUCUACUGUACCUAUGUUUUUUUUAAAAACAAGGAUGCUAUAUUAUGAAUUGUGUAAUCCUAUUUUGUGAAGUUCAAGAAAAUCACCUCUCACCCUCACACUCUCUCUUGCCCAUAUACGUGAUCCUGAUAGAAUAAACAAAUUCCUCAAAUUACAAAAACACUUAAUUUUUUUUUCCUCUUAGGCUUUAAAAAUGGUUAGCAAUGGUUCUCCUGGAGGUGGGAUUGUAGGACUUAAGGAGACAGUGAGGGAUAAGGAGGGGUUUUCACUUUUUAUCUAAUUCUCUAGUAUUUGAAAUCAUUUUUGUCCUUGUUGACACUUUGCAGCUUAAAACAUAAAGACUUUGAAGAGGAGCCUGACUGUGUGCGGUGCUGCAGACCAGCUUCUUUGCCAGGGAAGAUGCAGUGGGGCAACCUCGGCCGCUGAGCUGGUCGGCCUCCAGGCCUGCCAUCCAGGGUGCUGGUUCCUGGUCCUGGGCCUGCGGCUUGUGUGCACAGGUUCCUUUCCCAGGGUUCAGCUGAGCUGCCUGCAGCAGGAGCUUGGAUUUAGAGUUCUCAUCUGGUCACAGAUCUCAGUCGUGCUCCCUUAUCCCUAUGCCUCAGUCUCCUAGCAGAUGAUGGGAACAACAAUUGAUCACCCUUCUCUAGUAGGACGUUUGCGACAAGGAUGGAUUUUGAAAGUACAGAACUUUCACAGGAAAGGUCCAUCCCCUGGUCCCCUGCGUCAUCCCGAGGAAGAGCCUUCCAGCAAAUACAUCACAUUGGAGCUAAUUCAGCCCAGCUCAGCUGUCUGGUGGAAGGAUCCAAGGUGCCAGCGGCCCAGGAUGGAACAACUCAGUUGCAGGCGGGGAAAGACUGUGGAGGCGCGCCCCCUGGCGGCAGUGGCAAACAACGUUCUGGGGGAUUUCCAGAUGUCUAUCCACCUGCCCUUGAUCUUGACUUGUUCCUCCUAAUCCUAGACUGAAUGCACAAUCUCUUUUCUCUCCAUGUCGCCGCUCAGUCAACUUUAAGAUGUUAUUUAAAGGACAAGUGUGUCACAUAAAGCACUUCCUGUCCCCAGAAUUUUUUUCACUGGUGAAAUUUUCUCAUCUUUGUGUUACCUAGCCAUAUUGCCUUUAGGAAUCUAAAUAAUUUGUUUCAAAUUAUACUUGAGGUAGACAGGACUCAUCUACAGCGCUUCCUCUCUGACAGUUUCCAUCCUUACUACUCAAAAUGUUCUUCCAGAACCAAUAGGGAUCAACAGAUAGCAGCCUUAUGAGAGGACCUGUGAGAAAUGCAGAAUCCCAGGUACAACAUAGACCUACUAAAUCAGCAUCUUCAUUUUUUCAAAAACCUCCAUAUUCCUAGCCGUGCUGGAGAUGGAGAAGCAUGGGGUUGGUUGGUACUUCCUCACAGAUGAGAUGACUCAGGCUUCAUAGCUCUUAGCUCAUUUUGUCUUAGAACAAAAUACCUGAGGCUAAGCAACUUACAAAGUAAAGAAGUUUAUUUGGCUCACAAUUUUGUUGGCUGGAGGGUCUUAACAGCACAGUGCCAUCCUAGUGAGGGUCUACUGAAUGCAUCACAACAUGCCUGGGUACAAAACAAAAACUGGGAGUGGGGCGUCCUUUUUAACAGUCUGCCUUGCGGUACUAAUCUAGCUGUUCAAGAGUGAGAACUCUGGGAAUAAUCCACUGUGAACUAAUUACCUCCAUCUUAAAAGUUCCUCCACCUCAGAACCAUCACACGGGACCAGGCCCCCAGCAUAUGAACCUCUGGACACACUCCAGUGAUACCUAAACCAGAGCAUCCAUCAGCCGCAUUUAGGUCCAGCUACAUUUUAC